UAACUACAUAGAAAUACAUUAUUACAUUAAUAUCAAGAACUUCAAUAAAAAAUUGAAAAUCACAAAGGUUUCAGUCAAAGAACAUUAAUUGUUAGGGAUCGCAUCCAUAGUCUCCCUUUGAUCUUUACCCUAUUUUUGGUUGACAAAAGAGGAUUAUAUUAAUAGGUAGUUGGACACCAUUCACAAAACUAGCGUAAGAAACGCGAAGAUUUUUCGAUCUAGGAUCAUAACGAAUCCAAGCGAUAUUGAUCCGUCUGAUUGUAAUGGAUCCGUUCUAGGGAUGGGCAAAUACCCAUUGGUUAUAGGUAACCGCGGUUACCCGCCCAUUUAAAUUAAACGGUUACUGUUAUGGGUAACCGUUUAAAUAAAUAAAUGGUUAUGGGUAUAACCGUUUACCCGCGAAAUUUAAAUGGGCGGUUAUGGGUAUUAACCAUGGUUAUAAACGGUUAACCAUUUACCCAUUUAUUUUAUAUAUGUAAAACUAACACAAACCAUGUUCUCGAUCCAAUAAUACUUAGCACCCAAUAAAUUAGCAAGGAAUUCAUCGGUCCUUCUCUCAAUAACACUACUACAGGAAUGAUGAUUCUCAUCAUCAAAGAAUUGGCCAAAUUAAUUUAAAUUCCUUGCGGGUUACCGUGAAAUUGACAGAAAUACUUUGACAGAAAUGUCUUCUAAACAAUUUUUGUAACCCAAUAAUACUUAGCAAAUAUUAUAUUUACCUUCAUUGGUAACAAUUAAAAAUAUCAUCCGUAAACUAUUAUUUCAAUUAUUGGAAUGAUAUAAGGACUUAAAAAUUAAAAUAUAGAAAUGUAUGAUGAAUGUAUCUAUAACAGUGUUUAAUUGUCAAAAAAAAAAAAUUAUGACAUUUUUUUUUUAAUUUUCAAGUUGUUAAAAAACAUGUAGACGGGUGAAAAAAGGGUAAUGGUAAAAAAAAAGAAGAUAAACGGGUUAAAAAAGAUAAAUGGGUAAACGGGUAUUAAACGGUUACGGUUAAAUUGGUAUGUGGUUAUGGGUAUGGUUAACCGUUUAUAAACGGUUAUGGGUAUGUGUAUAACCAUUUAGGCAAUUACCCAAUGGGUAAACGGUUAUGCGGGUAUGAGCAUAAACGGUUAUGGGUAAAUUAACCGCGGUUACCCGCCUGCAUAACCAUUGCCCAUCCCUAAUCCGUUCCAAGGCUUUAAAACUUUAGACUUUAGAGAGUUACAACAAAAAGGUGGACCAAUUGCCUUCACCAUCCAGGCUUUGGCCCUAGGAACAAAGCUUUAUCAACCUUGGAAAGAUAACUCAUUACUAUUGUGCAUACAGUCAAGCAAUGGUAAAAUUAUUUGCAGGAGUGCCACUUUGUGAUCAAAGCUGACUAUAACAGCCUUACGUACUUCCUUAAUCACAAAGCAAACUAUAACGACCCAAAAAUUCUUAUUUGGAAGCUAAAAUCCGGUGUAGGCCAAAAUAAAUUCAUGAUCAAUUUCCACGAUAUUAACCAUAAUUAUUUCUUUCCUUAAAAGAAAUCCAACACAAAUAAAUUUGGAUUAUUUUGUGGCCGCAUCUAACCAUCUCGUUAGACUGCCUACGUACCCUACGAAGGGGCUAAGCCAUUCAUAGUUCACAUUACGCUUACAACAUACUAAAAUUUCAUUACGAUCCAACAGUCGGAUCUCAACCAAUCACAA
rnacentral:lncRNA from 1 species